AACGAACGCUGGCGGCAGGCCUAACACAUGCAAGUCGAGCGAGGACUUCGGUUCUAGCGGCGGACGGGUGAGUAACGCGUGGGAAUGUGCCCUUCUCUACGGAAUAGCCCUGGGAAACUGGGAGUAAUACCGUAUACGCCCUUUUGGGGAAAGAUUUAUCGGAGAAGGAUCAGCCCGCGUUGGAUUAGGUAGUUGGUGGGGUAAUGGCCUACCAAGCCGACGAUCCAUAGCUGGUUUGAGAGGAUGAUCAGCCACACUGGGACUGAGACACGGCCCAGACUCCUACGCGAGGCAGCAGUGGGGAAUCUUAGACAAUGGGGGCAACCCUGAUCGAGCCAUGCCGCGUGAGUGAUGAAGGCCUUAGGGUUGUAAAGCUCUUUCAGCUGGGAAGAUAAUGACGGUACCAGCAGAAGAAGCCCCGGCUAACUCCGUG
rnacentral:rRNA from 1 species